GACCUCAAAUCAGGUAGGAGUACCCGCUGAACUUAAGCAUAUCAAUAAGCGGAGGAAAAGAAACCAACCGGGAUUGCCUUAGUAACGGCGAGUGAAGCGGCAAAAGCUCAAAUUUGAAAUCUGGUACCUUCGGUGCCCGAGUUGUAAUUUGUAGAGGGCGACUUUGGGGCGGCUCCUUGUCUAUGUUCCUUGGAACAGGACGUCAUAGAGGGUGAGAAUCCCGUGUGGCGAGGAGUGCGGUUCCGUGUAAAGCGCUUUCGAAGAGUCGAGUUGUUUGGGAAUGCAGCUCUAAGUGGGUGGUAAAUUCCAUCUAAAGCUAAAUAUUGGCGAGAGACCGAUAGCGAACAAGUACAGUGAUGGAAAGAUGAAAAGAACUUUGAAAAGAGAGUGAAAAAGUACGUGAAAUUGUUGAAAGGGAAGGGCAUUUGAUCAGACAUGGUGUUUUGCGCCCCUCGCUCCUUGUGGGUGGGGGACUCUCGCAGCUCACUGGGCCAGCAUCAGUUUUGGCGGUCGGAUAAAACCAGGGGAACGUAGCUUGCUUCGGGAAGUAUUAUAGCCCUUGGGAAUACGGCCAGCCGGGACUGAGGAACGCGAUUCGUCAAGGAUGCUGGCAUAAUGGUUAUAUGCCGCCCGUCUUGAAACACGGACC
rnacentral:rRNA from 2 species